GACGAACGCUGGCGGCGUGCCUAAUACAUGCAAGUAGAACGCUGAAGGAGGAGCUUGCUUCUCUGGAUGAGUUGCGAACGGGUGAGUAACGCGUAGGUAACCUGCCUGGUAGCGGGGGAUAACUAUUGGAAACGAUAGCUAAUACCGCAUAAGAGUAGAUGUCGCAUGACAUUUGCUUAAAAGGUGCAAUUGCAUCACUACCAGAUGGACCUGCGUUGUAUUAGCUAGUUGGUGAGGUAACGGCUCACCAAGGCAACGAUACAUAGCCGACCGGAGAGGGUGAUCGGCCACACUGGGACUGAGACACGGCCCAGACUCCUACGGGAGGCAGCAGUAGGGAAUCUUCGGCAAGGGACGGAAGUCUGACCGAGCAACGCCGCGUGAGUGAAGAAGGUUUUCGGAUCGUAAAGCUCUGUUGUAAGAGAAGAACGAGUGUGAGAGUGGAAAGUUCACACUGUGACGGUAUCUUACCAGAAAGGGACGGCUAACUACGUG
rnacentral:rRNA from 1 species